CAGGAAUUAGUUUAUUUAAAAAUAUUGAUUUUGGAAAUCAAUGAUAGGUUUUUAUCUAUUCCUGA
rnacentral:tRNA from 1 species